UUGCCUACGGGUGGCAGCAGUGGGGAAUAUUGGACAAUGGGCGCAAGCCUGAUCCAGCCAUGCCGCGUGUGUGAAGAAGGCCUUCGGGUUGUAAAGCACUUUUGUUCGGGAAGAAAUCGUGCGGAUUAAUACUUCGUACGGAUGACGGUACCGAAAGAAUAAGCACCGGCUAACUUCGUGCCAGCAGCCGCGGUAAUACGAAGGGUGCAAGCGUUACUCGGAAUCACUGGGCGUAAAGCGUGCGUAGGCGGUUGGUUAAGUCUGCUGUGAAAGCCCUGGGCUCAACCUGGGAACUGCAGUGGAUACUGGCUAGCUAGAGUGUGAUAGAGGAUGGUGGAAUUCCCGGUGUAGCGGUGAAAUGCGUAGAGAUCGGGAGGAACACCAGUGGCGAAGGCGGCCAUCUGGAUCAACACUGACGCUGAGGCACGAAAGCGUGGGGAGCAAACAGGAUUAGAUACCCGUGUAGUCA
rnacentral:rRNA from 1 species